GCCUGGUUAGCUCAGUCGGUAGAGCGUACGACUCUUAGCUUCUUCGGAAGGUAGGCAUCGUACGGUCGCGGGUUCGAACCCCGCAUUGGGUU